UACGUAGGGAGCAAGCGUUGUCCGGAAUCAUUGGGCGUAAAGCGCGCGUAGGUGGCCUCAUAAGUCCGCUGUGAAAGUCAAAGGCUCAACCUUUGAAAGCCGGUGGAUACUGUGAGGCUAGAGUACGGAAGAGGAGAGUGGAAUUCCUGGUGUAGCGGUGAAAUGCGCAGAUAUCAGGAAGAACACCUAUGGCGAAGGCAGCUCUCUGGGACGGUACUGACGCUGAGACGCGAAAGCGUGGGGAGCGAACAGG
rnacentral:rRNA from 1 species